rnacentral:tRNA from 1 species
UCCCUCAUGGCUUAGACGGUAAAGCGUCUGCCUACAAUGCGGGAGACCCGGGUUCAAUCCCUGGGUCGGAA